UACGAGCGGCCCAAACGUUAUUCGGAAUUACUGGGCUUAAAGAGUUCGUAGGCGGCGCAGAAAGUAGGGUGUGAAAGCCCUCGGCUCAACCGAGGAAUUGCGCUCGAAACUACGGAGCUGGAGUGUGGCAGAGGAAGGUGGAAUUCCACGUGUAGCGGUGAAAUGCGUAGAUAUGUGGAGGAACACCGAUGGCGAAGGCAGCCUUCUGGGCCAACACUGACGCUCAUGCACGAAAGCGUGGGGAGCAAACAGG
rnacentral:rRNA from 1 species